UCUCAAAACUUUGAUCAACCUUUGGCGAUUGAAGAUGUAAGAUUUUGAGGCGUCGUCUAUAUGGAAACACAAAUGUGGUCAGGCAUGUUGUUAGCAUCCGUGGGAUAUUUGAUCAGCUCAACUGAUUUUGUAUAAAUGAGCAGUUCUUACAAUUUUAAACAUCACACUUUCAAUGUUGUCUAGUUGACAUGGAAUUUCAAUUUUUUUUCUCUUUCUUUUGUUAUUUUCUUGUCCUUUUUCCAUAUUUUUUUCAGCAAUAAUGUUCUUGUUUGUUAUGAGUACUUGUAAAUAUUUGAUCAACACUGUAUAUGAGUUAUCCAAAGCCAAAGUAAGUGUUGCCAA